rnacentral:lncRNA from 1 species
AAAAAUAUCUAUAAAGGUAUUCACUAGCAAUUAACAUUUCAACGAUUUUAAGUGCUAGUAAUGAUUUCAAUUACGUAAAAUGCUUUUCAAUGCAUUUUGAAAAAAACAGAUGCAAAACUUUUGUGUUUUAUCAUUUGUAUCCGAUGAACAAUACAUUAAGGUGAACUUUGCUCCAUAUGGAAUGUUGGUUUUGUUAUUGAUGUCCAUCCUUCUGUACAUAUUAUUGAUUUAAUAGCACACAAUUAUUGAUAAAACAAAACCUGUCAAAAAUACUGUAAUAGAGC